ensembl:lncRNA
CACUAGCAUGUCUUUCAUCCUCCCUCUCUGUCUCUCUCUCUGUAUCAAAUUUGUAGGCUAGCAUGUCUCUGUGGUUUUUGUACAUUAAUACCACUUCAUGCCACUGUUGAGAAGGAAAUAAAUGUGAGCGGAAAUUCUACACCAAUCUGGUCACAGACACAUAACCUAAGAACUGCCAAGAACUCUGACCCAGAAAAACCAAGAAAGAAUGACUAAUUAGGGGCAGAAAAGAUUGUGUCCCAUGGCAUACAAGGGAAUAUUGCAUUUCUCCCCUCCCAACAUUUAUGCCUUUUUAAGGUAAUGGGUCCCUACCAAAAACACACACCAACUGUGAAGCAGCUUGAGUUAAGUUACAGAGGUUUAGAGGAGGAAGACCUAGGUGUUGAGUUACGGAUGUUCAAAGGAGAAGAGGGUGUUGAGUUAGGGAGGUUCAGAGGAGGAAGAAGGUGUUGAGUUAGGGAGGUUCAGAGGAGAAAGAACGUGAUGAGUUAGGGAGGUUCAGAGGAGAAAGAACGUGAUGAGUUAGGGAGGUUCAGAGGAGGAAGAAGGUGUUGAGUUAGGGAGGUUCAGAGGAGGAAGACCUAGGUGUUGAGUUACGGAUGUUCAAAGGAGAAGAGGGUGUUGAGUUAGGGAGGUUCAGAGGAGGAAGAAGGUGUUGAGUUAGGGAGGUUCAGAGGAGGAAGACCUAGGUGUUGAGUUACGGAUGUUCAAAGGAGAAGAGGGUGUUGAGUUAGGGAGGUUCAGAGGAGGAAGAAGGUGUUGAGUGAGGGAGGUUCGGAGGAGGAAGAAGGUGUUGACUUAGGGAGGUUCGGAGGAGAAAGAAGGUGUUGAGUUAAGGAGGUUCGGAGGAGGAAGAAGGUGUUGAGUUAAGGAGGUUCGGAGGAGGAAGAAGGUGUUGAGUUAGGGAGGUUUGGAGGAGGAAGAAGGGCUGAGUUGGAAGGGUGAGUUGUUUAGGUCAGUGGAUGAGUAAUAACUUUAUACUGCUGCACUCAUACAUCAUUUAUGGAUGACUGUUUGGAAUGGGUGUCUAUGUCCUUUAGGGCUGGUGUUAGAGUGCCAUUAACAGUGUGUUUCUGUGCCUGUGUGUCUGCUAAUAAAGAACUGGGUUUAAUUUCCUGACACUGUAUCCAGUUAGACCUCGAUGUGCUAAACUCUGUCUCACCAAUCCCUUCCUGGACUGUAUUCCCCUCAUCUAGCUCAUCUGCAUUUCUAACAUGUUCCUGUCAAUAGAAAAAGAUAACGAUUAUAAAAAUGGGGAUAAAGGUAUACCACUUCAUAUAAUCACUUCCAAAAUGAUAGACAUAAAUAAUGUAACUGAACACUGUUAAUUACAUCAAUAAUUCUAGAUGGUCAACUAAAAAGACCCAUUUCUCAUAUUAUAUAUGUACAGCAUUUCCCAAAACAAUGUACGCCAGAAUGACACCAAACCCACCACUGAUGUGUGACCAAAUCAUUUUAUUUAUACCUAACCAUAGAACCUGGUACCAAUCCAAGGCCCAAUAGUUUUUAACAACUCCGUUCGUUAGUUUCCUUCAAUAAAGGCUUGUUGUUCAUAUCUACCAAAUAUGCUAUUGGAGUGUAGGUGGAGCCAAAUUCUAGAUUUGGAUACUCAGAGAUGCCAAAAUGCCUCCUCCGUAGCUGUCCGAAUGUGGCUAUUUGACUCUUCUUUGCUUUCUGUGCUUGAAGAUGACAAUGCACUCGGG